GAUGAACGCUGGCGGCGUGCCUAAUACAUGCAAGUCGAGCGAACGGACGAGAAGCUUGCUUCUCUGAUGUUAGCGGCGGACGGGUGAGUAACACGUGGAUAACCUACCUAUAAGACUGGGAUAACUUCGGGAAACCGGAGCUAAUACCGGAUAAUAUUUUGAACCGCAUGGUUCAAAAGUGAAAGACGGUCUUGCUGUCACUUAUAGAUGGAUCCGCGCUGCAUUAGCUAGUUGGUAAGGUAACGGCUUACCAAGGCAACGAUGCAUAGCCGACCUGAGAGGGUGAUCGGCCACACUGGAACUGAGACACGGUCCAGACUCCUACGGGAGGCAGCAGUAGGGAAUCUUCCGCAAUGGGCGAAAGCCUGACGGAGCAACGCCGCGUGAGUGAUGAAGGUCUUCGGAUCGUAAAACUCUGUUAUUAGGGAAGAACAUAUGUGUAAGUAACUGUGCACAUCUUGACGGUACCUAAUCAGAAAGCCACGGCUAACUACGUGCCAGCAGCCGCGGUAAUACGUAGGUGGCAAGCGUUAUCCGGAAAUAUUGGGCGUAAGCGCGCGUAGGCGGUUUUUUAAGUCUGAUGUGAAAGCCCACGGCUCAACCGUGGAGGGUCAUUGGAAACUGGAAAACUUGAGUGCAGAAGAGGAAAGUGGAAUUCCAUGUGUAGCGGUGAAAUGCGCAGAGAUAUGGAGGAACACCAGUGGCGAAGGCGACUUUCUGGUCUGUAACUGACGCUGAUGUGCGAAAGCGUGGGGAUCAAACAGGAUUAGAUACCCUGGUAGUCCACGCCGUAAACGAUGAGUGCUAAGUGUUAGGGGGUUUCCGCCCCUUAGUGCUGCAGCUAACGCAUUAAGCACUCCGCCUGGGGAGUACGACCGCAAGGUUGAAACUCAAAGGAAUUGACGGGGACCCGCACAAGCGGUGGAGCAUGUGGUUUAAUUCGAAGCAACGCGAAGAACCUUACCAAAUCUUGACAUCCUUUGACAACUCUAGAGAUAGAGCCUUCCCCUUCGGGGGACAAAGUGACAGGUGGUGCAUGGUUGUCGUCAGCUCGUGCCGUGAGAUGUUGGGUUAAGUCCCGCAACGAGCGCAACCCUUAAGCUUAGUUGCCAUCAUUAAGUUGGGCACUCUAAGUUGACUGCCGGUGACAAACCGGAGGAAGGUGGGGAUGACGUCAAAUCAUCGUGCCCCUUAUGAUUUGGGCUACACACGUGCUACAAUGGACAAUACAAAGGGCAGCGAAACCGCGAGGUCAAGCAAAUCCCAUAAAGUUGUUCUCAGUUCGGAUUGUAGUCUGCAACUCGACUACAUGAAGCUGGAAUCGCUAGUAAUCGUAGAUCAGCAUGCUACGGUGAAUACGUUCCCGGGUCU
rnacentral:rRNA from 1 species